rnacentral:rRNA from 1 species
UACGUAGGGUGCAAGCGUUAAUCGGAAUUACUGGGCGUAAAGCGUGCGCAGGCGGUUCGCUAAGACAGAUGUGAAAUCCCCGGGCUCAACCCGGGAACUGCGUCCGAUACUGGAAGGCUUGAAUCCGGGAGAGGGAUGUGGAAUUCCAGGUGUAGCGGUGAAAUGCGUAGAUAUCUGGAGGAACACCGGUGGCGAAGGCGACAUCCUGGACCGGUAUUGACGCUGAGGCGCGAAAGCCAGGGGAGCAAACGGG